GUUUAGUCUGAACUUAGCAUCAGCUGCUCAGGUUCCUUUCUUCUCAGCAUGCCGUGGCUGGCCUCAUCCUGUAGUCUUUCAAACCUAAUUAGUGUUAGGGCCUUUCCUCGCUGGCUCCCUCCCAUCCCCAGCAGCCCUUCAUUCUUCUCACUGCCUCCUUUCCUUCUCACUGUUCAGAGCGCCCUGUGCAUGCAAAUCAAGGAACUGACUUGAGAUGACUUUCAGAGCUCUGUCUCUUGUGUUUCUUUGGCCUGGAAGAAACAACGCCUAAGUUUUGAGCUGCAUGAAGCUGCCUGACAUCUAAGGAUCUCUGAAGAGAACUGGGACCUGAAACCCAUCUGAAAUGUAUCUGCAGACAGGUCAAGUUCAUCGAGAGUCACCUCCUGCCUGACACUCCAGUCAUUAAUUCCAGAUCUCCAGAUCAGCCUGAAGAUCAACAGGAUGAUGAGUCCACUGAAGAAGGUCACAAA
rnacentral:lncRNA from 1 species